rnacentral:lncRNA from 1 species
UAGAUAGCUAACAUUUGUGAUUUGGGCCAAACUCCGUACAUACGUAUAAUCUGUUUGUUAGGAAUCUGUGGAUCUCCUACUUUCUCUUGCAAACUAGGAAUCUCUAUAUCUCCUGUUUGUAUAGGCUUGGUUGCGCGCGAACCAACCUACCUCUCUAAUAAUUAUGUCCUUAUAAAGACGUAAAUACUUAAAGAAUAUAUACACAUAAAUAUGAGUCUCACUCGUUAAUAUUUCUAAAAAGGUGAACUUUGCGAAGUCCACACUUCUAAUAGAAUAUUUUACAUAGAACCGUUACUUGGUAAGUCUAAGAGUUCUAUCUCUUAGCCUGGUAGUAUUCGAGAUAGCUUGUUGUUAGGAUAGUUCAGAUCGAAAAGAAUCGUCCAGCACAACCUAAUCUUACCUUUUUAGGCAUUCUGUAAUAAAGGACAUGAAAUGUGCCUCCCUCUUUAAUUUAAGAACCGUGGAUCCACAAUUAUGUUAUACGUAGGUUACAUUAGUUAGUUCCAUAUUUAACGUAGUAUCUCUCUCAUAAGAUAUGAUAGUUUCUUGCAUGAUAGAUGUAAACCCAUUUCAGUAGUCGUAGUUAAUUUCCAAAUCCCUUGGAUUAGAAAGUCGUUCCUAAGGUAAUAUAUAAAAAAAAAAGAAAUAGUUUGUAGUUCCAUACAUGCCUGAUCAGCCUCUGUACCAAACAUAUUUUGAAUUAAGUUAAGUUUAUUUAGUUUCUGUUGCUUCUUUAGACAGAAUUUACGUUUAUUUCAUGUUCCUACUCAUCCUACGAGUUCAUUUUAGUUAUCUUUAUAUAAAAUUAAGAGAACAAAUCCCACUAAUAGUAUAACAUAAAAUUCUGUUUGAGUAUCUAUAUCCUUACUAACCGCUAACACUCUCCAAAUUUCUGCUUAUUAACCGCUUUCAAAUGCAAUCAACUAAUUCUCUUCGCUUAGCUCCUGCACCGUCAUUCUAUAUUCAAAUCCCUAAUAACCGUUAACUCCUUUGAUGCUACUUACUAACGCUUAUAUCGCCAUUAAUACUUCCGCUUUUGCUAAAUAGUUCCCUGUUCUAUCCCAGAUACAUAAUUAAAUUCAUUCACCUACCAAUUUAAAAAAAAAAAUUUUUUAGUUUAAAUUUUUUUUUUUAACCCAACCAAAGAUGAACUGUAACACUUCAGAGGUUACGCAUCUCCAUAGUUUCUAACGUAUUAAGCUGCAAGUAGAUGGAUGGAUAAAUGGAAAACGUAAUGCAGUAUAAAUUCCCAACACUGAGCCCUAGAAUGGAGUUUAAAGUAUAAAAACAUACCGGUAAAAUUCUGAUGCCGGAACUGAUGCACUAGUUUGCUAUUUUACACAUAUUUCGUAGCCAUAUGGCCCUGCAAUUUUAAGCUGUACUUCCCUUGUAUUACACCACACAGUUUUAAUCUCAUUUGGUUUAGUAUUCACUCACUUUUCGUAAUAAAUUCACUUUGUUUUGGAGACCCUGCGUGGGUUAGAUGUGUUCUGUCACUUCUGACAGUUUGACGUUUAUAAACUGGUUGGGGAAGAUUUGAGUCACAUAAAUACCCGUUCAAUGAAAGUUUUUUUUUCUUGUCGGAGAAAAUCUGAUUUCAUUUUCAUUAAGAUAAAUUAACAUUAUAACAUGUAAAGUAAUUCUAGGAUAUUGGUUUGCAAUAAAAUUUAGCUAAUAGUUUGGUUUUGUUUUUCUUCUGCGGCGUUAGUCGUGUUCUCAUUUGUCUAUGAUAUGGUCAUUAGAAAAGGUGACUAUUUGCAUUACGGGGUUGAAGAUUCGUUUAAUGUAAGUUAAUUUCUUCUUUCCAUACAAAAAUACUUAGAAUUUUAAAAUGAGGGGUAUGUUGUUAUUUGUCUUAAUUUUUGGUGAAAGUUUUCACAAUCUAAUAUUUCCUUUUCUUUGGUUGGAUACGUGGCUAAGGUCUCGGGCCACCAUUGAAAUAUUGUCAUUGCCUGAAGUGAAUCGUAGCUGACAGCAUGUGAAAUUUUGAGAUAGUUAAUAUCCCAGGCAAUCUAUUCAUUCCGGGGUAUGUUUUAGUGUUCAAAGAGUGCUUUGUUUUCUUUAUUGUGUGGUCUUCACGUAUUAAUUAAUAUUUUGUUCUUUUAGCCGAGCCCGUUAAACUCGAUUAACCUAAAAAUGUAAGCCGCCCUUACAAAGAAAAGUAAACAGCCAGUUUAUUUCGCCUUCAAUCUUCCCAUCGCUGCCACGUGAGAACGUAACGGUGACAUCCAGAGGAAAAUAAGGAAAACACCCAGCCUUUCUGGUAAGUGGUUUUAUCUCUGUUACACCAAAAACCCCUAAAAGCAACCCCGCGAUUAAAAAUAUAGAAUUAAUUAAAACAACAAGUUACCGAUUUCCAAAAUUAUCUCACCUGGUUAUUUUGUUUGUCCACCAGGGUGUUUUUAUCCGGGUAUAUGUUCCACAUAUUCUCCUGCUACUAUCCUGGUAUUAUGUCCUGAACUGGAGUUAGCAGUUUGCUGCCAAAACUACUCGUGAGAGAAACCGCCCAAGUUUGUGAAACGGAUUAAUACCUAGGAUAUUUUACAUUUAUAACUUAGCAUUUUUAAUUAAGGAUAUCCAUCCAGGAAUAAGACCAAUAUAAUUUUGUGGAGCGAUAUAAAUAUAUAUUUCCUUUAAUAAAACUUAAAUUAAAUACUUCCACCUCCGUUAGACUGUACGUUGGUGAUAGAAAAUAAGAACUUAGUGAAGGUUGUUUUUACAAUAAAUUAGUUAAAUUAGU